AAAAGAAGAUCAAGAAGAGCUUCAGAAUGAAGCUUUCUUGAUGGAGGGGAGCGGCAGAUGGGUGAGUAACGCGUGGGAACGUACCCUUUGCUACGGAAUAGCUCCGGGAAACUGGAAUUAAUACCGUAUGUGCCCUCCGGGGGAAAGAUUUAUCGGCAAAGGAUCGGCCCGCGUUGGAUUAGCUAGUUGGUGGGGUAAUGGCCUACCAAGGCGACGAUCCAUAGCUGGUCUGAGAGGAUGAUCAGCCACAUUGGGACUGAGACACGGCCCAAACUCCUACGGGAGGCAGCAGUGGGGAAUAUUGGACAAUGGGCGCAAGCCUGAUCCAGCCAUGCCGCGUGAGUGAUGAAGGCCUUAGGGUUGUAAAGCUCUUUCACCGGAGAAGAUAAUGACGGUAUCCGGAGAAGAAGCCCCGGCUAACUUCGUGCCAGCCGCCGCGGUAAAAC
rnacentral:rRNA from 1 species